GGCACCUCGAUGUCGGCUCAUCACAUCCUGGGGCUGAAGUAGGUCCCAAGGGUAUGGCUGUUCGCCAUUUAAAGUGGUACGCGAGCUGGGUUUAGAACGUCGUGAGACAGUUCGGUCCCUAUCUGCCGUGGGCGCUGGAGAACUGAGGGGGGCUGCUCCUAGUACGAGAGGACCGGAGUGGACGCAUCACUGGUGUUCGGGUUGUCAUGCCAAUGGCACUGCCCGGUAGCUAAAUGCGGAAGAGAUAAGUGCUGAAAGCAUCUAAGCACGAAACUUGCCCCGAGAUGAGUUCUCCCUGACUCCUUGAGAGUCCUGAAGGAACGUUGAAGACGACGACGUUGAUAGGCCGGGUGUGUAAGCGCAGCGAUGCGUUGAGCUAACCGGUACUAAUGAACCGUGAGGCUUAACCUUACAACGCCGAAGCUGUU
rnacentral:rRNA from 1 species